UUGUUUGUGAAUGAAAAGGGAAUCGAGUGCAAGUCUCGAACAGUCCCGCUGCUGUGAACUCAUUAAUUAUUUCCUGAAUAUCUGUUGCCACUGACAGUUUUGUUGUUGGGAAGGCCUCGGGAAUGAGAGUAAGUCAGAAGACCUGCCAGUUAUUGA
rnacentral:ncRNA from 1 species